rnacentral:lncRNA from 1 species
AUGCGUGGUAUCAAGAGGCGCAUUGAGGCGCUCCUGCAGCCUCCUCCCGGCACGGGACUCCUCACAACCCCCAGCCUCAGCUUCCCCGACAGGGCAGGGGCUCAGUCUUCCCCACUCCGGGCCAGGAACGCAGCCUGCUUGCCUUUUGUCCAAUUGGGUGCUCUUUCUUUGCGACUGAUACAAAGUAGGAACAAACUCCGCUUCCGGUGAUGCCCGGGCCCCAGGAGGCUGGGGGAGAAGUGCACGCUGCCCAGCCUUCAACCUGAACUGCCCCCAGCACUUCCGAGCCCCGACCCCUGCAGCUGUGAGGGAAGCCCCUACCUCUGCCCUGGCCACAUCCUUCCCCUGAUCUCAUGGCUGAAAAGCCACACCAGAAUUCCUGCAGUUCAGUGAAGCAGCUGUUCAAAACCAAGCAGCUGGUGACGCACAGGGACAGAGGGGCCCAGGGGCUGCCGGCUGCCAGGACCACCGCAUUGCAGAGGUCUCCCUUGCAGCAGGAGAUCUGGGAGUCCACGACGGCACUUGUUCUUCCAGGCAGGUAACUCACUGAAUGCUCACAGCCUGCCCCUCUCCUGCAUGGAGCUGAACCUGCCCUCUGCCCUGGCACCCCAGGGACUCACUGCCAAAGACGCUCACUUUCUGGGAGACACAGACCCCAUCCAGGAAGGGGCACAAGACCAUGCUGCAGGAGGCCCCUUCCAAGACCGCCAACCAUCCAUAGCAGCGCAGACCCUGAGCUGGGAGAGAGGGCAAGAAAACACACCCCUGGUGGAGAUUUAAGAUGCUAAUGACACAUGCGACGUGUGAGCAAGCAGGUGCAGUUACUGUGCGUGUGCACCCAGAGGACCCCCCCAGAACAUGCUUCCUAGCAACACCUCUGCCCACCCGCUGAUUCUCUCGGCACCACGGGAACCACCUUCUCUACUCUCACUGAACACCCCUGGGAUGUAUCUGUAAAAAUUGGAACACCUUUCGGCUAGAAACCAGAGGAAGCCGCUCAUGACACCCGGGAGCUCACAGAGGCUCUGAAGUUUCUAUUCAAGAAAACAACUCCAGAUGGGGCUGAUCUGGAAGACAAGUAACAUCUUCCUUUUCUUGGUGCUCGCCUGCCGUGCUCUAGGUGCUUUUAGAGAUGCUGGUCUGUGUGCUAGGGAAGCGAUGAACCAUACUGUUAGUCUAUUAAGCAUAACUCAACCUGG